rnacentral:tRNA from 1 species
ACCUGGCUGGCUCAGUCAGUGGAGCAUCAGACUCUUGAUCUCAGGAUUGUGGGUUCUAGCCCCAUGUUGGACA